CUUUUGUUCUCUCGGUUCACCUACAGAUUUUCAUAAACCUUGUAGUAAUUUACUGGUCUGGUUACUUCUAAAAUUCAACCUUUAGAUUUGUCUGAAACUGACAGAUUUACUCACACCCUUCCUGGCAGAAGGGCACAGUGGAGAUGGACAGAACAACUGUUUUGUUUGGCAUUGGGGCUAGCAGAAGUUUAGAUAUGAAGAGACCGAGACUCUGAUCAUUCUGACAUAAGGAUACCUAUGCUAAGGACAGCUGUGUAGUGAAGAGAUAUGCAACAUAAGCCUAUUAGGACACUUGAAGAAUUCUGUCAUAUAAAACUCUCCAGAUCAAAUUAUCUAUUAUGGAAAUCUAUACUGCCAGAAUUAGACUUCUCUCACAAGGAAGGGAAGCAUCAAGUGAGUAUCAUUUGUGCAUUAAAUUGGCCCUCAUGACUAUUACUACACAAGAAACAAUUUUGCAAUGUCAAGCAAUAACAAU
ensembl:lncRNA